rnacentral:lncRNA from 1 species
AUUCCCUGUGAUGAAUUUAAUUUACCAUGUGUCUCAUAUUUGAUCUUCUCUCCCAUUACAUCUUUCUGCUUUGCUUUUAAACCACAGAUUAUAAUCUGUCAGAAAUGAAGAUAUGAAUUUUUUUUCUACAACUCGGAGUGAAAUGUCAUCUCCCCAAUUUCUUUGAAUAUCCAGGCAGAAAACUUUGAAACCUGCGACUGUAGUCUGACUAAUUCAUGUUUAUGUCUUCCCAUUUCUUGGACUGGUUGUGAAUUGUCGUGCUUUGUGGAUGGGUUUAAAAGAAUGAAUGAAACACUGCAAGUUGGUUUCAGCGUGAGGGAUAAGAUUCGUCACGUUCAUCGAUCGCUUUCACUA